AUGAACGCUAGCGGCAGGCCUAAUACAUGCAAGUCGAACGGGAUUCAGGUAGCAAUAUUUGAUGAGAGUGGCGCACGGGUGCGUAACGCGUAUGCAACCUACCUCUAACAGGGGAAUAGCUCCGAGAAAUCGGGAUUAAUACCUCAUAGUAAAUAAGAUUGGCAUCAAUUUUAUUUUAAAGUCACGGCGGUUAGAGAUGGGCAUGCGUGCCAUUAGCUAGUUGGUGAGGUAACGGCUCACCAAGGCAACGAUGGCUAGGGGUUCUGAGAGGAUUAUGCCCCACACUGGUACUGAGCCACGGACCAGACUCCUACGGGAGGCAGCAGUAAGGAAGAUUGGUCGAUGGACGCAAGUCUGAACCAGCCAUGCCGCGUGCAGGAAGACGGCCUUAUGGGUUGUAAACUGCUUUUGUCAGGGAAUAAACCCCUCGAUGCGUUGAGGGCUGAAGGUACCUGAAGAAUAAGCACCGGCUAACUCCGU
rnacentral:rRNA from 1 species